GACGAACGCUGGCGGCGUGCCUAAUACAUGCAAGUCGAGCGGACUUGAUGAAGUGCUUGCACUUCUGAUGGUUAGCGGCGGACGGGUGAGUAACACGUAGGUAACCUGCCUAUAAGACUGGGAUAACAUUCGGAAACGAAUGCUAAUACCGGAUACGCGAAUUGGUCGCAUGGCAGAAUCGGGAAAGACGGAGCAAUCUGUCAGUUAUAGAUGGACCUGCGGCGCAUUAGAUAGUUGGUGAGGUAACGGCUCACCAAGGCGACGAUGCGUAGCCGACCUGAGAGGGUGAUCGGCCACACUGGGACUGAGACACGGCCCAGACUCCUACGGGAGGCAGCAGUAGGGAAUCUUCCGCAAUGGACGAAAGUCUGACGGAGCAACGCCGCGUGAGUGAUGAAGGUUUUCGGAUCGUAAAGCUCUGUUGCCAGGGAAGAACGCUUGGGAGAGUAACUGCUCUCAAGGUGACGGUACCUGAGAAGAAAGCCCCGGCUAACUACGUGCCAGCCGCCGCAGUAA
rnacentral:rRNA from 1 species